UACGUAGGGUGCGAGCGUUAAUCGGAAUUACUGGGCGUAAAGCGUGCGCAGGCGGUUAUUUAAGUCAGGUGUGAAAGCCCUGGGCUUAACCUAGGAAUUGCGCUUGAGACUGGAUAGCUUGGAGUUCGGGAGAGGGAUGUGGAAUUCCAGGUGUAGCGGUGAAAUGCGUAGAUAUCUGGAGGAACACCGGUGGCGAAGGCGGCAUCCUGGACCAACACUGACACUGGAGGAGGCGAAAGCCAAGGGGAGCAAACGGG
rnacentral:rRNA from 1 species